AUUGAACGCUGGCGGCAUGCCUUACACAUGCAAGUCGAACGGUAACGCGGGGCAACCUGGCGACGAGUGGCGAACGGGUGAGUAAUAUAUCGGAACGUGCCCAGUAGUGGGGGAUAGCCCGGCGAAAGCCGGAUUAAUACCGCAUGAGACCUGAGGGUGAAAGCGGGGGAUCGCAAGACCUCGCGCUAUUGGAGCGGCCGAUAUCAGAUUAGCUAGUUGGUGGGGUAAAGGCCUACCAAGGCAACGAUCUGUAGUUGGUCUGAGAGGACGACCAGCCACGCUGGGACUGAGACACGGCCCAGACUCCUACGGGAGGCAGCAGUGGGGAAGUUUGGACAAUGGGCGCAAGCCUGAUCCAGCAAUGCCGCGUGCAGGAAGAAGGCCUUCGGGUUGUAAACUGCUUUUGUCAGGGAAGAAAUCUUCUGGGUUAAUACCUCGGGAGGAUGACGGUACCUGAAGAAUAAGCACCGGCUAACUACGUGCCAGCAGCCGCCGUAACAC
rnacentral:rRNA from 1 species